rnacentral:rRNA from 1 species
AACGUAGGACGCAAGCGUUAUCCGGAGUUACUGGGCGUAAAGCGUGCGCAGGCGGUUCGUUAAGUCAGAUGUGAAAGCCCCGGGCUCAACCUGGGAACUGCAUUUGAAACUGGCGGGCUUGAGUAUGGCAGAGGGGGGUGGAAUUCCGCGUGUAGCAGUGAAAUGCGUAGAGAUGCGGAGGAACACCGAUGGCGAAGGCAGCCCCCUGGGCCAAUACUGACGCUCAGGCACGAAAGCGUGGGGAGCAAACAGG